rnacentral:rRNA from 1 species
UACGUAGGGUGCAAGCGUUUGUCCGGAAUUAUUGGGCGUAAAGAGCUCGUAGGCGGUCUGUCGCGUCGGCUGUGAAAUCCCGAGGCUCAACCUCGGGUCUGCAGUCGAUACGGGCAAACUUGAGUGCUGCAGGGGAGACUGGAAUUCCUGGUGUAGCGGUGAAAUGCGCAGAUAUCAGGAGGAACACCGGUGGCGAAGGCGGGUCUCUGGGCAACAACUGACGCUGAGGAGCGAAAGCGUGGGGAGCGAACAGG